CAAACAGAGUACAGUUAAAGUUAUUCUAAAAGUUUGCUUAAAAAAGGUUACCCUUUUGAUGGUUUAAAUUUAUGUAUCUAAAAUAAAUGAGGCAGAACAAAUUAAAUAGUUCGGGGAAUACAGCUGAUUUAAUGCUAUAAAGAAACAAUGAUAAUUCAGAGAAGUUUUGUUUGGGCACUUAUGAUUGAAUAUAUUUGGAAGAAGUAUUCAAAGAGCUGCAGAAGGAAACGAUCAGGUGAAGAAUCGUAUUCAUUAUGAAAAAAUAUUUCCUAAACGUAAUCUCUAAAAAAUCAAGAUCAAAGGAGGGACUGAAUAGUUGAUGAUGAUUUGGAUUAAUUUCGAAAAGGAGAAUUGGAAAAAGGAUGGGUAAAGUAGUCUGUAGGAAAAUGUUUAUUUCCUAAAAGCACGAGUAUUUCUCAUUUGCAAACAGUGUACAGAAGUAGAUUGCUUAAAGUGAAAUGCAAGCUGGAAUUGUGUAGCUUAAAAAAGAGCAUUUCAGGACGUAUUGAAAAUGUUUACUUUUCAAAAUCUACGUCAUUUAUUUUGACUCAAAACUUGUUUGGUAUAGUAUUGCAGGGGUCUUCAAACUUUUUAGCUUAACUAUCACAAUGAGACAUAUACUGAUUCUUGAUCUCAAGACCUAGCCAGCUAAGCCGAUAUAGUCGGGAUUGGUCCCCCUCUACCCAAACUUAAACAUUUAAAAAACAUUGCUCAACUUGGAUUUUUUAAGGAGCUUUGUUUAUCUUUCCACCUGAUUCAUGGUAAGACUUCUUGACUCAUUUAGCUACUAGUUAGCUCAGAGGUUUUCAACUUAUAAAAGUCCGGGAGCCGCAAUCAAAACCACCCAUGGUGGACCACCAUUUAGAAGUUCAUAUUCAAGAUAUUUUUCGAAGCUGGGCUACAAUCGUGGUCAGCCCAAUUUUCAUGAAGUUAAAGUAAAAAAAAAUAACUAUCAGAUAAUGAAUAAAACAGGAAGUGAGCACUCUAACACUUUUAAUGGCAUUUUCUUUAAAGAAUAAAUUCAAACGAAAAUAAUGUUACUUUGAGAACAAAUGUGAAUAUUAUUUUUAAUUCAAAUGUUUAAAAUUUAAAUGAAAGCUUAUUCAUAUGUUUAAGUUUGAAACAUUAUCACGAUAAACUGCGGUAAACUAGAAAUCUGGCAGGCUUGCUCCGGUGGUCCUGAUUAGUGAUAAUGACGGGCCGUACUUUGGAGACCCCUGAUGUAUUUAAAAUGUCUGUUUAUAAAAAAAUAUGCUAUAUUUUAUGUGGAUGCGCAAGUUGUGUGGCCAAGUAUUUCUGGAUUUAUUGAAAAUGUCUAUUGAUUGAAACAUGCAUAAUUUAUGCAAAUGUGCAACCUAUAGACGAAACAUUUCAGGUUUCACUGAUGAUGGAUAGAAGUUUAAAUAUCUAAGUGUAAGUCGUGGCAAUAUGUAACUGAAGUAAAACUGUACUGCUUGAUUUUCUAAAUGUUUAUCUUGAAUAAAGCAAGUUUAC